rnacentral:rRNA from 1 species
ACGGGUGAGUAACGCGUAGGUAACCUGCCCCUGUGUUCGGGAUAACAGUGCGAAAGCGCUGCUAAUACCGGAUGUGGCCAAGAGACGGUGGUUUUUUGGUCAAAGUCGGCCUAUCGAAGAAGCCGGCGCGCGGGGAUGGGCCUGCGUCCUAUCAGCUAGUUGGUAGGGUAACGGCCUACCAAGGCUUCGACGGGUAGCUGGUCUGAGAGGAUGAUCAGCCACACUGGCACUGAAACACGGGCCAGACUCCUACGGGAGGCAGCAGUGAGGAAUUUUGCGCAAUGGCCGCAAGGCUGACGCAGCAACGCCGCGUGGGUGAAGAAGGCCUUCGGGUCGUAAAGCCCUGUCAGGUGGGAAGAAUGUUUCGGGGGGUAAUAUACCUCGAAAGUGACGGUACCACCAGAGGAAGCACCGGCUAACUCCGUGCCAGCAGCCGCGGUAAUACGGAGGGUGCAAGCGUUAUUCGGAAUUACUGGGCGUAAAGCGCGUGCAGGCGGGUUUGCAAGUCUGAUGUGAAAGCCCCGGGCUCAACCUGGGAAGUGCAUUGGAAACUGCAAAUCUUGAGUGCUGGAGAGGAAGGGG